rnacentral:rRNA from 1 species
UACGUAGGGGGCAAGCGUUGUCCGGAUUUACUGGGCGUAAAGAGCGUGUAGGCGGCCAAGCAGGUCCGUUGUGAAAACUGGAGGCUUAACCUCCAGACGUCGACGGAAACCGCGUGGCUAGAGUCCGGAAGAGGAGAGUGGAAUUCCUGGUGUAGCGGUGAAAUGCGCAGAUAUCAGGAGGAACACCUAUUGCGAAGGCAGCUCGCUGGGACGUUACUGACGCUGAGACGCGAAAGCGUGGGGAGCAAACAGG